ACCUGUGAAAAGGAUGCAUAGCUUGAUGAACACGAAAACAAGCAGAACAGUACGGAUUUUCAUUUUCAU
ensembl:ncRNA C54D10.16 ncRNA